ACGUGCACUUGCAAUAUGAUUGUAUGUGAAAAAACAUCACCAAAUGGACAUGAUGAAAUCAACACAACGAGUGAUGGAAAGGAACAACUAUCACUGCUCGGCCAUCCUGUGUUCAUCAGGCCAGUCAAUUUUGCAUUUUUGAGCAUGUCAAAUUUCAUAUGGUAAAAUACAACUAAAGUAUGUUGAUACAGUUCUUAUACGUGUGUAAUUGACACAAAAUUACAAAAACGGUCCAGAAAGCACUUUUUAAGGGUGUGUGAAGUUUUUUCAAAAUUUUGACAUUUUUUUUUGACUUUUGACUUCCUAUGAAAUCAUAUUGAAAAUGGACAAAACAUAUUACUUAUGCCCAUGUAAAAAAAAAAAAAAAAAUAUGAUGAUAAAAUUGGACAAAAGUAUAUUCAUACAGUUCUUACACAUGUGUAAUUGACAAAAAAAAUCGAAAGAAUUUCGAAAAACGGUCCAGAAAGCACUUUUUUAAGGGGUGAUAAGUUUUUGACAAAAAAUCAUUUUUUCAAAAUUUUGCUUUUGGAUGUUGACUUGGGUGACAUUUCCAAUAUGAAAAACCAUGGUGGAGCGAAUUCGCCACCUGUUGAAUUUUUAAAGUGUUACAAUAGGCAAUCGCCAUAUGGCAGUUGCAAUACACUUUGCAUGAAUCAACGCCGAAUUGGGUGGCGAAUUCGCUCCACCAUGGUUUUUCAUAUUGGAAAAUGGCACCCAAGUCAACAUCCAAAAGCAAAAUUUUGAAAAAAUGAUUUUUGUCAAAAACUUAUCACCCCUUAAAAAGUGCUUUCUGGACCGUUUUUCGAAAUUCUUUCGAUUUUUUUGUCAAUUACACAUGUGUAAGAACUGUAUGAAUAUACUUUUGUCCAAUUUUAUCAUCAUAUUUUUUUUUUUUUUUUUUUUUUUACAUGGGCAUAAGUAAUAUGUUUUGUCCACUUUCAAUAUGAUUUCAUAGGAAGUCAAAAGUCAAAAGUCAAAAAUGUCAAAAUUUUGUAAAAACUUCACACACCCUUAAAAAGUGCUUUCUGGACCGUUUUUCGAAAUUCUUUCGAUUUUUUUGUCAAUUACACAUGUGUAAGAACUGUAUGAAUAUACUUUUGUCCAAUUUUAUCAUCAUAUUUUUUUUUUUUUUUUUUACAUUUUUUUUCACUUUCAAUAUG
ensembl:lncRNA